rnacentral:rRNA from 1 species
CCGGACCUGACUGCUAUCGGAUUGGUACUAAGCCAUGCGAGUCAUUGUAGCAAUACAAGGCGGACGGCUCAGUAACACGUAGUCAACCUAACCUAUGGACGUGGAUAACCUCGGGAAACUGAGAAUAAACCACGAUAGAUCAUGAUGCCUGGAAUGGCUUAUGGUUCAAACAAUUUAUUGCCAUAGGAUGGGACUGCGGCCUAUCAGCUUGUUGGUGAGGUAAUGGCCCACCAAGGCUAUAACAGGUACGGGCUCUGAGAGGAGAAGCCCGGAGAUGGGUACUGAGACACGGACCCAGGCCCUAUGGGGCGCAGCAGGCGAGAAACCUUAGCAAUGUGCGAAAGCACGACUAGGUUAAUCCGAGUGGUUCCUGCUAAAGGAACCUUUUGUCAGUCGUAAAACCACAGACGAAUAAGGGGUGGGCAAGUCUGGUGUCAGCCGCCGCGGUAAUACCAGCACCUCGAGUGGUCAGGAGGUUUAUUGGGCCUAAAGCAUCAGUAGCCGGCUACGCAAGUCUCCGGUUAAAUCCAACUGCUCAACAGAUGGGCUGCCGGAGAUACUACAUAGCUAGGGAGCGGGAGAGGCAGACGGUAUUCGGUGGGUAGGGGUAAAAUCCACUGAUCCAUCGAGGACCACCAGUGGCGAAGGCGGUCUGCCAGAACGCGUUCGACGGUGAGGGAUGAAAGCUGGGGGAGCAAACCGGAUUAGAUACCCGGGUAGUCCCAGCUGUAAACGAUGCAAACUCGGUGAUGCGUUGGCUUAUGGCCAACGCAGUGCCGCAGGGAAGCCGUUAAGUUUGCCGCCUGGGAAGUACGGACGCAAGUCUGAAACUUAAAGGAAUUGGCGGGGGAGCACCACAAGGGUGAAGCCUGCGGUUCAAUUGGAUUCA